GGCGGCGGUAGUGGAGUGGCCGGUGGGUGCUCUGGUUUAUUGUUUCCGCCACAUGAAGGGCCGCAAAAUCAUGGCUCAUCCUGCCACCGUGGUCUACCCUUCAGUCACUAAUGCUAUUCCAAUUUAAGUUGACACUUCUUACACCUUUUCCCUCCUUCACUCACUUUUAUGUCUCAUGUAUGAUAUGAAUAAAAUCAUGAAUCUAUGUUGUUUUUCUUUUUCUCCGAUAAAAAUA
rnacentral:lncRNA from 1 species